rnacentral:rRNA from 1 species
GAUCAUGGCUCAGGAUGAACGCUGGCGGCGUGCCUAACACAUGCAAGUCGAACGAGGUAAAUAAGAGGAAGUUUUCGGAUGGAAUCGUAUUUACCGAGUGGCGGACGGGUGAGUAACGCGUAUGCAACCUGCCCGAUACCGGGGUAUAGCCCAUGGAAACGUGGAUUAACACCCCAUAGUACUUUUAUCCUGCCUGGGAUGGGAGUUAAAUGUUCAAGGUAUCGGAUGGGCAUGCGUCCUAUUAGUUAGUUGGCGGGGU